UACGUAGGGUGCGAGCGUUAAUCGGAAUUACUGGGCGUAAAGCGUGCGCAGGCGGUUUUGUAAGCCAGAUGUGAAAUCCCCGGGCUUAACCUGGGAAUGGCAUUUGGGACUGCAAGGCUGGAGUUUGGCAGAGGAGACUGGAAUUCCUGGUGUAGCAGUGAAAUGCGUAGAUAUCAGGAGGAAUACCGAUGGCGAAGGCAGGUCUCUGGGCUAUAACUGACGCUCAUGCACGAAAGCGUGGGGAGCAAAAGGG
rnacentral:rRNA from 1 species